rnacentral:rRNA from 1 species
AUUGAACGCUGGCGGCAGGCCUAACACAUGCCAGUCGAGCGGAUGAAGGGAGCUUGCUCCUGGAUUCAGCGGCGGACGGGUGAGUAAUGCCUAGGAAUCUGCCUGGUAGUGGGGGAUAACGUCCGGAAACGGGCGCUAAUACCGCAUACGUCCUGAGGGAGAAAGUGGGGGAUCUUCGGACCUCACGCCAUCAGAUGAGCCUAGGUCGGAUUAGCUAGUUGGUGGGGUAAAGGCCUACCAAGGCGACGAUCCGUAACUGGUCUGAGAGGAUGAUCAGUCACACUGGAACUGAGACACGGUCCAGACUCCUACGGGAGGCAGCAGUGGGGAAUAUUGGACAAUGGGCGAAAGCCUGAUCCAGCCAUGCCGCGUGUGUGAAGAAGGUCUUCGGAUUGUAAAGCACUUUAAGUUGGGAGGAAGGGCAGUAAGUUAAUACCUUGCUGUUUUGACGUUACCAACAGAAUAAGCACCGGCUAACUCCGUG